rnacentral:misc_RNA from 1 species
AAAUGUCUUCCAAAGUUUUGGUUUGUUUUUAUAUAUACCAAAUCUUAUGGGAUUUGGGUUUUGCAGAACGUUUUGUUCGGCUGGCCUUAAAUUAUUUUAGCCAUAAAAAGUCUCGGAUAAGGCGUAAUAGUUGGUACCUCUGGGUCCAUCCCUUUCGCUGAAGCCAAUCUUUUUAAUCUCUGGCUUAAUAAAUAUGGAAAAAUGAAAUAUAUAUAUUUCAUCAUUG